UACGUAGGGUGCAAGCGUUAAUCGGAAUUACUGGGCGUAAAGCGUGCGCAGGCGGUUUUGCAAGUCAGAUGUGAAAUCCCCGGGCUUAACCUGGGAAUUGCAUUUGUGACUGCAUCGCUGGAGUGCGGCAGAGGGGGAUGGAAUUCCGCGUGUAGCAGUGAAAUGCGUAGAUAUGCGGAGGAACACCGAUGGCGAAGGCAAUCCCCUGGGCCUGCACUGACGCUCAUGCACGAAAGCGUGGGGAGCAAACAGG
rnacentral:rRNA from 1 species